AGAAAGCUCUCAUCUAUCUAUAAUAGCGGCUGUUGUAACGAGUCUUGUCGUACUCAUCUGCUGCCUUCUCUGUGUUUGGUGGUUUAAGACAAAAUAUCCAACUCGACAACAGACUCAGAAUCACACAGGUGGGGAGGUGGCUCUUCAAAUGCCAGCCAGUAAAUCAGAGGAAGACAUCCAGUACGCAGACGUCAAGUUCUGCAAUCCGAAAUCAAGCGUCUCGGUGCGGGACAGCGAACAGCAUCAGGAAACCAUGUACGCACGGAUCCAAGCGUCCGAACCACAGAGCAGCUCAGGUCCAACUGCUGGAGGCCUCGAAGAUCUCUACGCUCAAGUGAAGAAGAACUAAGUUCUGUUUUUGGGAUCAUAUGCUUGAAUUUGUUUUGCGAGGCAUUAGUUCGACAAGAGAUGCUUACCGACCUCAGCUGAAUAACAGGAAACUUCACACCUCCACGCCCUGCAGCUCACAGUUUGGUCACUUUUACUUCCGUUGCUGCGCUGCUGUGGUGUGACAAUGAACUCUGUAAAUAGUUCAAACGACACGAUUCUGCGCCUGCUUUUCCAGCAGAGAACAGAAGUGAACCCAAAGUAAAUCUAAUAAUUAGCUUUGUGAGAGUUAACAGUGUGUUUGUGAGAGUUUAAUUCAUUCACUCAAGUUGCAGCAAAAAUGAACGAGUCGCUGUUUCUGCUCAUGAAGAUGUUUAUUCAUUGCACUGUAAUAAAAACCUCGGCGUACAAUUUCUAAAAAAUACCUAAUAAUCUCAGUCGCAUUUAUUGGUCCAACAUUUCACAUAUUGUGUGUAAACAUCACCUGAAAUCAUACAGUUUAAUCACAAACAUUACAAAAGUGGCUUGAUGGAUGAUGCAUAGUAAUCCUUGGCCCCAAAUAUAAAUCUGUUUUGA